rnacentral:rRNA from 1 species
UAACAGGCUUAUCUCCCCCAAGAGUCCAUAUCGACGGGGAGGUUUGGCACCUCGAUGUCGGCUCGUCGCAUCCUGGGGCUGAAGCAGGUCCCAAGGGUUUGGCUGUUCGCCAAUUAAAGCGGUACGCGAGCUGGGUUUAGAACGUCGUGAGACAGUUCGGUCCCUAUCCGUCGUGGGCGUAGGAUACUUGAAGAGGGUCUGCCUCUAGUACGAGAGGACCGAGGUGGACGAACCUCUAGUGUACCAGUUGUCCUGCUCAGGGCAUCGCUGGGUAGCUAUGUUCGGUCGGGAUAAACGCUGAAAGCAUCUAAGUGUGAAACCCACCUCAAGAUUAGGUAUCCCAUCUGGAUUUAUCCAGAGAGAGACCCCGGGUAGACUACCCGGUUGAUAGGUUAGAAGUGUAAGGACAGUAAUGUCUUUAGCUAACUGAUACUAAUAGGUCGAGGACUUGACCGU